rnacentral:rRNA from 1 species
AUUGUUUCAAGAAGAGGUUGCGUCUGAUUAGCUAGUUGGCGGGGUAAAGGCCCACCAAGGCUACGAUCAGUAGCUGGUCUGAGAGGAUGAUCAGCCACACUGGGACUGAGAUACGGCCCAGACUCCUACGGGAGGCAGCAGUGAGGAAUAUUGCGCAAUGGGCGAAAGCCUGACGCAGCAACGCCGCGUGUAGGAUGAAAUCCUUCGGGAUGUAAACUACUGUUAGAGGGGAAGAAAUCCCGGUUACGCCGGGAGUGACGGUACCCUCAGAGAAAGCCACGGCUAACUCUGUGCCAGCAGCCGCGGUAAUACAGGGGUGGCAAGCGUUGUCCGGAAUUACUGGGUGUAAAGGGUGCGUAGGCGGGUCGGUAAGUCAGUGGUCAAAUCCUAUAGCUUAACUAUAGACUAUCCAUUGAUACUGCUGAUCUUGAGUGCGAGAGAGAUGAGUGGAAUUCCAAGUGUAGCGGUGAAAUGCGUAGAGAUUUGGAAGAACACCAGUAGCGAAGGCGGCUCAUUAGCUCGUAACUGACGCUGAGGCACGAAAGCAUGGGUAGCAAACAGGAUUAGAU